rnacentral:miRNA from 1 species
GCAGAUACAUUCCAGCCAAUCAGCAGCAGACCCUCCCUCCCAGACCCUCCUGGACAGCAUCCAUUUUACAUUCAUUGUGAGGCUGCAUUCUUAGUGAGCUGUCCAGGAGGUGGGAGGGUCUGGGAGGGAGGGUCUGCUGCUGAUCGGCUGGAAUGUGUCUG